rnacentral:rRNA from 1 species
UACAGAGGGUGCAAGCGUUAAUCGGAAUUACUGGGCGUAAAGCGCACGUAGGUGGUUGCGUAAGUUGGAUGUGAAAGCCCCGGGCUUAACCUGGGAAUUGCAUCCAAAACUGUGCGGCUAGAGUAUGGGAGAGGGAGGUAGAAUUCCAGGUGUAGCGGUGAAAUGCGUAGAGAUCUGGAGGAAUACCGGUGGCGAAGGCGGCCUCCUGGCCUAAUACUGACACUGAGGUGCGAAAGCGUGGGUAG